rnacentral:lncRNA from 1 species
CGGGUUUCCUUCUCUUAAGAAUGUGAGCGGACAGUGGACUCUUUCUUGCUGCCUGUUCCCAACAUCCUGGGGACGUCAGAGGGCCACCGAGGGCUCCGGGAGGGGAGGAGAGGAGCCCGCGCGCCCCGCAACUCUGGACCUAUCUCGAACACUCGGCACCAAGCUUGCUGGUGGCGAAGGGAAACCGAGGCAGCUUCGGGGACGGCCGAGUGGGGGCGUUGGUGGUAGGAAGUAUUGUAAAGCGGAACGGGAAAAGCCAGAAACUAUUCGAAACAAAAGGAGAGACUGCUUCGCGACGUCGGAGGUCGCUGGGAUCGAAACUCCGGAGCCCUAGGUAUUCGUAUACAGAAACUCACAGGGAGCCCCUGAAAGAGGGAAGACCUGCUUUAAGAUGACAGACCAAUGGGCAGGCAAAGGAGGCAGAGUAAUUAUUCCCAGCGUACUGAUGAAGAAACCAAAGUGCAAAUGAUUUGCUCACGGUCACACAGCUAUUUAAGGUCAGCCAAGUCCAAAUUGAACAACGCAAUGUAAGUACGCAACCAGUACCCGCCCCCUUCCUGUUUCUCUCUGUCCCAACUGACUGUCAAAUUGCACUAGCCCGCUUAGGCAAGUCAAACUAUUUGAAAGUCCUGGCCCAUCCACCCAACCUGGGACCGCAGCAAUGGCCGUCCAAGAGUACCAGACUUGACC